ensembl:lncRNA novel transcript
CAGCCUUGGUACUGAUCAUCAAAAGAACCUGGUGCGAAGUCGAAGUCGAUUUUAAUUGCAACCUGUAAAAAAAGAAAAAUCUUGAGUUUAAUUUUUCAAAUCAGAUGGUGAAUGUGGUUGCAGAUUUGCUGUACUCUAUAAGGGUGCUGCCACACAAUGGGACAGCAUGGGUGGAUCCAUGGACAGUCUCAGAAGAAGAUUGAUAAGUGACUAGAACAUGGACUCUUGAAUAAGACAUCUCAGUUCAAUUCCUGGUGCUCCUUCUUCCUAAAUGUGUGAUCUUGGACAAGCUACUUAACCUCUCUGUCUCUCUGUUUCCUCAUGUGUUGAAUGGAGAUAAUAAUAGUACCAACUUCA